AACGAACGCUGGCGGCAUGCCUAACACAUGCAAGUCGAACGCGUGUAGCAAUACACGAGUGGCGGACGGGUGAGUAACGCGUGGGAACCUGCCCAGUGGUAGGGAAUAACUGCGGGAAACUGCAGCUAAUACCCUAUACGCCCUUUGGGGGAAAGAUUCAUCGCCAGUUGGAGGGGCCCGCGUCGGAUUAGCUAGGUUGGGCGGGGUAACGGCCCACCAAGGCAACGAUCCGUAGCUGGGCUGAGAGGAUGAUCAGCCAC
rnacentral:rRNA from 1 species